UAAAUACUCCCUCCGUCCCAAAUUACUUGUCGCAGAAAUGGAUGGCGACAAGUAAUUCGGGACGGAGGGAGUAUAUG
rfam:Triticum aestivum genome assembly, contig: Triticum_aestivum_CS42_TGACv1_scaffold_093655_2AL